ACCCUAGGGAGUCGCUCCCUUAUCUCCAUCAGCACCUGAGUUCGGAGAGUAUUCAUAAUUUGCCCCCUUCAAAGGGGCUCUUCUACUGAUAGUUUCAUGGAGGGGAUUGGGACCUCCAACAUGUGGGUGGAGACCGAGAGUGCUGCUGAUUCUUUUUGCAGCCCUCCUUCAGUAGGGGCUCCUUAAUCUCUUCUUUUCUUCUUUAUUCGGCAC
rnacentral:lncRNA from 1 species